UACGGAGGGUGCAAACGUUGCUCGGAAUCAUUGGGCGUAAAGCGUACGUAGGCGGUUCGUUAAGUCGGGUGUGAAAGCCCCGGGCUCAACCCGGGAAGUGCAUUCGAAACUGGCGAGCUGGAGUACGGAAGAGGGUCUCGGAAUUCCCGGUGUAGAGGUGAAAUUCGUAGAUAUCGGGAGGAACACCAGUGGCGAAGGCGGAGACCUGGGCCGAUACUGACGCUGAGGUACGAAAGCGUGGGGAGCAAACAGG
rnacentral:rRNA from 1 species